rnacentral:rRNA from 1 species
GACGAACGCUGGCGGCGUGCUUAACACAUGCAAGUCGAACGGUGAAGCGCCUUCCUUUUUGGUGGGUGUGGAUGAGUGGCGAACGGGUGAGUAACACGUGAGUAACCUGCCCCCUUCUUCUGGAUAACCGCAUGAAAGUGUGGCUAAUACGGGAUAUUCUGGGUCUGUCGCAUGAUGGGUCUGGGAAAGAUUUUGUUUCGGUGGGGGAUGGGCUCGCGGCCUAUCAGCUUGUUGGUGGGGUGAUGGCCUACCAAGGCGGUGAUGGGUAGCCGGCCUGAGAGGGUGGACGGUCACACUGGGACUGAGACGCGGCCAAGACUCCUACGGGAGGCAGCAGUGGGGAAUAUUGCACGAUGGGCGCAAGCAUGAUGCAGCGACGCCGCGUGAGGGAUGGAGGCCUUCGGGUUGUGAACCUCUUUCGCCAGUGAAGCAGGCCUGCCUCGUUUGUGGGUGGGUUGACGGUAGCUGGAUAAGAAGCGCCGGCUAACUACGUG